rnacentral:rRNA from 1 species
UACGGGGGGGGCAAGCGUUGUUCGGAAUUACUGGGCGUAAAGGGCUCGUAGGCGGCCAACUAAGUCAUACGUGAAAUCCCCCGGCUUAACCGGGGAACUGCGUCUGAUACUGGAUGGCUUGAGUUCGGGAGAGGGAUGCGGAAUUCCAGGUGUAGCGGUGAAAUGCGUAGAUAUCUGGAGGAAUACCGGUGGCGAAGGCGGCAUCCUGGACCGGCAUUGACGCUGAGGAGCGAAAGCUAGGGGAGCAAACAGG